AAAAGCUCAAAUUUGAAAUCGGCCACCAGGUCGAGUUGUAAUUUGUAGAUUGUAUCUUGAGAGCGGAUUAAAGUCUGUUGGAACACAGCGCCUUAGAGGGUGACAGCCCCGUAAAAUCUAUUCUCAUUGUAAGAUACUUUCGAAGAGUCGAGUUGUUUGGGAAUGCAGCUCUAAGUGGGAGGUAAAUUCCUUCUAAAGCUAAAUAUUGACGAGAGACCGAUAGCGAACAAGUACUGUGAAGGAAAGAUGAAAAGCACUUUGAAAAGAGAGUGAAAAAGUACGUGAAAUUGUUAAAAGGGAAGGGUAUUGAAUCAGACUUGGUGCUGUUGUUCAACUGUGUUUCGGCAUAGUGUACUCAGCAGUACUAGGCCAAGGUGGGGUGUUUGGGAGUGAAAAAGAAGUUGGAACGUAACUCUUCGGAGUGUUAUAGCCUACUUUCAUAGCUCCUCAGGCGCCUCAGGACUGCGCUUCGGCAAGGACCUUGGCAUAAUGAUUCUAUACCGCCCGUCUUGAAACACGGACCAAGGAGUCUAACGUCUAUGCGAGUGUUUGGGUGUAAAACCCGUACGCGUAAUGAAAGUGAACGUAGAUAGGAGCAGGAAUGCGCACUAUCGACCGAUCCUGAAGUUUUCAGAUGGAUUUGAGUAAGAGCAUAGCUGUUGGGACCCGAAAGAUGGUGAACUAUGCCUGAAUAGGGUGAAGCCAGAGGAAACUCUGGUGGAGGCUCGUAGCGGUUCUGACGUGCAAAUCGAUCGUCGAAUUU
rnacentral:rRNA from 1 species